AACGAACGCUGGCGGCAGGCCUAACACAUGCAAGUCGAGCAAACCCUUCGGGGUUAGCGGCGGACGGGUUAGUAACGCGUGGGAAUAUACCCUUUGGUACGGAAUAGCCUCGGGAAACUGAGAGUAAUACCGUAUGUGCCCUUCGGGGGAAAGAUUUAUCGCCAAAGGAUUAGCCCGCGUUGGAUUAGAUAGUUGGUGGGGUAAUGGCCUACCAAGUCUACGAUCCAUAGCUGGUUUGAGAGGAUGAUCAGCAACACUGGGACUGAGACACGGCCCAGACUCCUACGGGAGGCAGCAGUGGGGAAUCUUAGACAAUGGGCGCAAGCCUGAUGCAGCCAUGCCGCGUGUGUGAAGAAGGCUCUAGGGUUGUAAAGCACUUUCAGUAGGGAGGAAAAGUCGAUAGUUAAUACCUAUCGGCCGUGACGUUACCUACAGAAGAAGCACCGGCUAACUCCGUG
rnacentral:rRNA from 1 species